GACGAACGCUGGCGGUGUGCUUAACACAUGCAAGUGGUGCGACGAACCAGAGCUUGCUCUGGGGCAAAGCCGCGAACGGGUGAGUAACACGUGGGUAAUCUACCCCGAUGACCGGGACAACCCGAGGAAACUCGGGCUAAUACCGGAUGUGGUACGGAGACAUAAGUCUCUUUACUAAAGGUAGCUUUCGGCUUCCGCAUUGGGAGGGGCCCGCGGCCCAUUAGCUAGUUGGUGGGGUCAAGGCCUACCAAGGCAACGAUGGGUAGCUGGUCUGAGAGGACGAUCAGCCACACUGGGACUGAGACACGGCCCAGACUCCUACGGAGGCAGCAGUGGGGAAUCUUGCGCAAUGCGCGAAAGCGUGACGCAGCAACACCGCGUGAGGGAAGACGGCCUUAGGGUUGUAAACCUCUUUCAGAUGGGAC
rnacentral:rRNA from 1 species